AGUGAACGCUGGCGGCAGGCCUAGCACAUGCAAGUCGAACGGCAGCACAGAGGAGCUUGCUCCUUGGGUGGCGAGUGGCGGACGGGUGAGGAAUACAUCGGAAUCUGCCCAGUCGUGGGGGAUAACAUAGGGAAAUUUAUGCUAAUACCGCAUACGACCUACGGGUGAAAGCGGGGGAUCGCAAGACCUCGCGCGAUUGGAUGAGCCGAUGUCCGAUUAGCUAGUUGGCGGGGUAAUGGCCCACCAAGGCGACGAUCGGUAGCUGGUCUGAGAGGAUGAUCAGCCACACUGGAACUGAGACACGGUCCAGACUCCUACGGGAGGCAGCAGUGGGGAAUAUUGGACAAUGGGCGCAAGCCUGAUCCAGCCAUGCCGCGUGGGUGAAGAAGGCCUCGGUU
rnacentral:rRNA from 1 species